CUCCUUAACACACCAUCUGAAAUGAGAUUCUGUCAUGAAAAAGUGCUGAAUAGCAAAGCAGAUUUCAAGACUUUCUCAGUUCUAUUCUGCACCAAUACUGGCAUCCAUUUAAGCCUGGAUAAUACAUCUGCAUAUUCUUCCAUUCCUGUAAAAGGUCAGAACUGCAAGGUUUCAUUUCUUUCUUUCCAACAGAAAGGUCAUGUAAAAAGAUGACCACAGGUCAUGGCAUAGCAUGGUUGCAGAAUACAUAGGGUCAAGGACAGUAUACCGGCAUUGCACAUAAAAAUAUUCUUUUCACCCUUGGAUAUAAAACGUAAGAAGGCAAAAAUAACAUAUGAGAGAAGAUAAGAAUUGUCAUGCUGGGAUGAGUCAGUCCACCCAUUACAGCACUAGCAUACAACCAAGAAUAUCUGUUCUCGUGUGUUUUACAGGAACAUGGAAAAAUACUGUGUUUAAAGAAAUGUCAUGAGGAAGGAAAUACACUCUGAAGGGUCCCCUUUGGAUAACACCGUUACACACAGCAUAAGGAAGCUGACACAGGUGCCAAUCUCAUGGAAUCCUCUGGAUCAGGGGUAUUACUGAUACAUAAAACUUCAGAACAGGCACGUACUUUCAGUCAGUGUUUCUAAAAAUUUUGACUACAAAAUGUUAAUUGAUUUUACCAGAAACA